UUUAAAAGCUGAACACAGGAGCGUUCCUGCUUAAUGUGAAAAGCGACGUGUGUCGGAAACAUUUCCGCACUUGUGGCAGUUCAUCGCGCUUCAGGCAAUUUGAGUCAGGAGACGGGAACAACAGACAAAAGACAACAGAAGAAUCAUGACAACUAGAUCCUUCACCUGUGUUCUGACGUACUGACAUCAGUCUACAUUUGAAUAUCAGCUGCAGGACCUAGCAGUGUUUCUAAAUAAGACACGGAGGAACAGGAAGACGCGGAUGCCUGAUACCCAUGAUCACAGCAGUGCUGGAUCCCUGUACCCAGCCGGCAAACCCUGGAGCAGGCAGGCAUUGGUGGGACGGCAAGCUAAACCUCGUUAUAUGAAGAAGGGAGGAAGAAUCAGGAUGAAUGGUUUUAACAAACGGUGGAGAGGACCUCGAUCGAGAGGGUGCCACUUCUGCAUCAGCUCAUAAGGGAAUGAGCACCAGGGCUGGUAGACCUGCGGAAUGGGUCUGAGGUCCGGGGUCCAGGUCAAGUGACCAAACCGGCUCAUCGGCUGACUGUGGUCUCGCUCUUGUGCACCCUAACCCUCCAGCCCUCCCCACAGCCGUUAUGUUUUUGUUGUUGUUCUUCACUUAUCUGUUACUGUUCUUUGUCAACUAGCUGACAACCUAAAGUUUUUACGGGAACUGGACACAAAUGCGGGCUAUGGAAAUUCUCAUCAGUCUACAGUAAUAUGCUGCAUUUUACAACAUUUAUAAAAAAAAAAAACAAAAUGCGUAAAACUAACAUUUCAGGUCUAUGCCUCAGCUUUUUAUCGCUGCUGUGUUUAAUAUUGUGAUGAAUUUGUGUUUCUGGUCCUUGCCUCAGUUUUAUUUUAUAAGCACGUGUGACUUUGUUUACUUCAGUGUCCAUGUCUGGUACUAUAAUAACGUAUCGCUGUGGACGAUCUCUAAUCGCGUUUUUGCCUAACUUUCCUGAAUGUGACGCCCCUCCUCCCUGACAGGUGGAUGAAGAUCAGCUCGGUGAGUGUAAGACUCUCGAUCUGAUCGCUGCCACAGGAAAACGUGAA